rnacentral:tRNA from 1 species
UGGCUCAGACGGUAAAGCGUCUGCCUACAAUGCGGGAGACCCAGGUUCGAUCCCUGG